rnacentral:rRNA from 1 species
GACGAACGCUGGCGGCGUGCUUAACACAUGCAAGUCGAACGGAAAGGCCCUGCUUGCAGGGUACUCGAGUGGCGAACGGGUGAGUAACACGUGGGUGAUCUGCCCUGCACUUCGGGAUAAGCCUGGGAAACUGGGUCUAAUACCGGAUAGGAGCCAUUUUUAGUGUGAUGGUUGGAAAGUUUUUUCGGUGUAGGAUGAGCUCGCGGCCUAUCAGCUUGUUGGUGGGGUAAUGGCCUACCAAGGCGGCGACGGGUAGCCGGCCUGAGAGGGUGGACGGCCACACUGGGACUGAGAUACGGCCCAGACUCCGACGGGAGGCAGCAGUGGGGAAUAUUGCACAAUGGGCGCAAGCCUGAUGCAGCGACGCCGCGUGGGGGAUGACGGCCUUCGGGUUGUAAACUCCUUUCGCUAGGGACGAAGCUUUUUGUGACGGUACCUAGAUAAGAAGCACCGGCUAACUACGUG